CCGUUGAUUCGCACAAUUGGUCAUCGCGCU
rnacentral:ncRNA from 3 species